rnacentral:rRNA from 1 species
GGGCGAAAGCCUGACGCAGCAACGCCGCGUGACCGAUGAAGCUUCUAGGAGUGUAAAGGUCUGUCGUGAGGGAAGAAAAAGCUGGAUGUAAAUAAUGUUCAGGUGUGACGGUACCUCACAAGAAAGCACCGGCUAACUUCGUGCCAGCAGCCGCGGUAAUACGAGGGGUGCUAGCGUUGUCCGGAAUAACUGGGCGUAAAGGGUCCGUAGGCGUUUUGCCAAGUUGAUCGUUAAAUCCACCGGCUCAACCGGUGAUCUGCAAUCAAAACUGGUAGAAUAGAGUAUGAGAGGGGAAUGUGGAAUUCCUGGUGUAGCGGUGACAUGCGUAGAUAUCAGGAGGAACACCAAUGGCGAAGGCAGCAUUCUGGCUCGAUAUUGACGCUGAGGGACGAAAGCGUGGGGAGCGAACAGGAUUAGAUACCCUGGUAGUCCACGCCGUAAACGAUGAGUACUUGAUGAUGGGGGAUUCGACCCCUUCACUAUCGGAGCUAACGCGUUAAGUACUCCGCCUGGGGACUACGGCCGCAAGGUUG